rnacentral:rRNA from 1 species
GACAGAGGUGCCAAGCGUUAGGCGGAAUCACUGGGCUUAAAGCGUGUGUAGGCGGAUCGUUAAGUACCUUGUGAAAUCCCACGGCUCAACCGUGGAACUGCUGGGCAUACUGGACAUCUCGAGGCACUCAGGGGCGAGCGGAACAAGUGGUGGAGCGGUGAAAUGCGUAGAUAUCACUUGGAACGCCAAUGGUGAAGACAGCUCGCUGGGGGUGUCCUGACGCUGAGGCGCGAAAGCCAGGGGAGCGAACGGG